rnacentral:rRNA from 1 species
ACUGCUCAGUAACACGUGGCUAACCCACCCUUGAGACGGAGAAAACCCCGGGAAACUGGGGCUAAUCCCCGAUAAGAGAAGACACCUGGAACGGGUCUCCUCUCAAAAGGCGCCCAUACCAUGCUUUUAGGCGUUGCUCAAGGACGGGGCCGCGGCCGAUCAGGUUGUUGGUGAGGCAACGGCUUACCAAGCCUAUAACCGGUACGGGCCGUGAGAGCGGGAGCCCGGAGAUGGGCACUGAGACAAGGGCCCAGGCCCUACGGGGCGCAGCAGUUGCGAAAACUCCGCAAUGCACGAAAGUGUGACGGGGCUACCCCGAGUGCCGUCCGCUGAGGGCGGCUUUUCCCCGGUGUAAGGAGCCGGGGGAAUAAGGAGAGGGCAAGUCUGGUGUCAGCCGCCGCGGUAAUACCAGCUCUCCGAGUGGUAGGGACGAUUAUUGGGCUUAAAGCGUCCGUAGCCGGCCUGACAAGUCUUCCGUUAAAUCCAACGAUUCAAUCGUUGGACUGCAGGAGAUACUGUUGGGCUAGGGGGCGGGAGAGGCCGACGGUAUUCUCGGGGUAGGGGUAAAAUCCUAUAAUCCCGGGAAGACCACCAGUGGCGAAGGCGGUCGGCUAGAACGCGCUCGACGGUGAGGGACGAAAGCUGGGGGAGCGAACCGGAUUAGAUACCCGGGUAGUCCCAGCUGUAAACGAUGCGGGCUAGGUGUUGGAGCGGCUACGGGCCGCUUCAGUGCCGCAGGGAAACCAUUAAGCCCGCCGCCUGGGGAGUACGGCCGCAAGGCUGAAACUUAAAGGAAUUGGCGGGGGAGCAC